AUGGCUUCCGACAGCAACCGGAAGGCUCCCUGCGGCAAGCCUCAGUUCCUCAAGGUGCUCUUCACGGACUUCAUGGAGAAGAUGCCGAUCCCGGCCAAGUUCAUGCGGCGGCACCUGGCAGCGGAGCCCGGGCUCCGGCGGGCCACCCUGAUGAGCCCGUUGGGCAAGUUCUGGCACGUCGACGUGGUCCGAGACGGCCACGGCGGCGACAGCGACGUCUACUUCGCAGGCGGCUGGGCCGAGUUCGUGAGGGCCAACAGGCUGGAGGAGGAGAACUUCCUGGUGUUCAAGUACGAAGGGAACAUGGUGUUCACCGUGAAGGUGUUCGAGACGUCCGGGUGCAUCAAGAACUACGACGACCUCGUCGUCGCCGGCGCAUUGUUAGAGCAGGCAGCACCGAGGAAGCGGUCCAGCACUGGCUGUGGAUCGCAGCCUACCUCCAAGGGCCAUGGUGGUUCACAUGCUCAGAAAACCAGGAAGGUCAGUGACAGGAGCCUUACCGGUGAUGGUGCCAUACAGGCAAAGAAGCAGUACAAACCUCGCAGGAUUCUGAUGGAAGACAAUGAUGGCGAGCAAGAUGCCACCACAGAGAAGUACGCCCAAGCGGACACCCACUCCGGCAUCGCAACGGAGGCCAAGGAGUCUGACUACACCGGCACCCUCCCUUUCUACGCCAAGACGGCGACUCCUUGCAACAUUCGCUACAGCUACAUGAACAUCGGGAAGAAGUUCUGCGUCAUGAACGGCAUCGCGACGAACCGGCUGAUGAUACUCAAGGACUCGGGCGGGAGGUCGUGGCCCGUGAAGCUGACGCUGACGAGCGACCAGGCGCGCAUGAAGGCCGGGUGGGGCCACUUCUCCGGCCACCAUGGGAUCAAGGUCGGGGACCUCUGUGUCUUCCACCUCGUCGACGAGCACACCUUCAACGUCAGCAUAAGGCGGGCCGAGUAA
rnacentral:rRNA from 1 species